rnacentral:rRNA from 1 species
AGUGAACGCUGGCGGUAGGCCUAACACAUGCAAGUCGAACGGCAGCACAGUAAGAGCUUGCUCUUACGGGUGGCGAGUGGCGGACGGGUGAGGAAUACAUCGGAAUCUACUUUUUCGUGGGGGAUAACGUAGGGAAACUUACGCUAAUACCGCAUACGACCUACGGGUGAAAGCAGGGGAUCUUCGGACCUUGCGCGAUUGAAUGAGCCGAUGUCGGAUUAGCUAGUUGGCGGGGUAAAGGCCCACCAAGGCGACGAUCCGUAGCUGGUCUGAGAGGAUGAUCAGCCACACUGGAACUGAGACACGGUCCAGACUCCUACGGGAGGCAGCAGUGGGGAAUAUUGGACAAUGGGAGCAAGCCUGAUCCAGCCAUACCGCAUGGGUGAAGAAGGCCUUCGGGUUGUAAAGCCCUUUUGUUGGGAAAGAAAAGCAGCAGGUUAAUACCCCGCUGUUCUGACGGUACCCAAAGAAUAAGCACCGGCUAACUUCGUG